AGAGUUUGAUCCUGGCUCAGGAUGAACGCUAGCGGGAGGCCUAACACAUGCAAGUCGAACGGGAUUGGUAGCAAUACCAUGAGAGUGGCGCACGGGUGAGUAACGCGUAACGCUUAUGCAACCUGCCUUAUACAGGGGAAUAGCCCAUGGAAACGUGGAUUAAAGUCCCAUAGAAUCAAGAUAUCGCAUGGUAUUAUGAUUAAAACUGAGGUGGUAUAAGAUGGGCAUGCGUCUGAUUAGGUAGUUGGUGAGGUAACUGCUCACCAAGCCGACGAUCAGUAGGGGUUCUGAGAGGAUUACCCCCCCACACUGGUACUGAGACACGGACCAGACUCCUACGGGAGGCAGCAGUGAGGAAUAUUGGUCAAUGGGCGCAAGCCUGAACCAGCCAUCCCGCGUGAAGGAUGAAGGUCCUAUGGAUUGUAAACUUCUUUUAUACACCAAGAAAAAUCCCGACGUGUCGGGACCUGACGGUAGUGUAUGAAUAAGCAUCGGCUAACUCCGUGCCAGCAGCCGCGGUAAUACGGAGGAUGCAAGCGUUAUCCGGAUUCAUUGGGUUUAAAGGGUGCGUAGGCGGCUUUUUAAGUCAGUGGUGAAAUCCUGCCGCUUAACGGUAGAAUUGCCAUUGAUACUGAAAAGCUUGAGUACAUUUGAGGUAAGGUGGAAUGUGUAGUGUAGCGGUGAAAUGCUUAGAUAUUACACAGAACACCAAUUGCGAAGGCAGCUUACUAAACUGAUACUGACGCUGAUGCACGAAAGCGUGGGGAGCGAACAGGAUUAGAUACCCUGGUAGUCCACGCCGUAAACGAUGCUCACUCGCUGUAUGCGAUACACAGUAUGCGGCCAAGCGAAAGCAUUAAGUGAGCCACCUGGGGAGUACGAUCGCAAGGUUGAAACUCAAAGGAAUUGACGGGGGCCCGCACAAGCGGAGGAACAUGUGGUUUAAUUCGAUGAUACGCGAGGAACCUUACCUGGGCUUAAAUGUAGAGCGACAGAUUGUGAAAGCAGUCCUUCUUCGGGGCUGCUUACAAGGUGCUGCAUGGUUGUCGUCAGCUCGUGCCGUGAGGUGUCGGGUUAAGUCCCAUAACGAGCGCAACCCUUAUCGUUAGUUGCCAGCGGGUCAAGCCGGGGACUCUAGCGAGACUGCCACCGUAAGGUGAGAGGAAGGUGGGGAUGACGUCAAAUCAGCACGGCCCUUAUGUCCAGGGCUACACACGUGUUACAAUGGCCGAUACAAAGGGCAGCUACUCCGCGAGGAGAUGCUAAUCUCUAAAGUCGGUCCCAGUUCGGAUUGGAGUCUGCAACCCGACUCCAUGAAGUUGGAUUCGCUAGUAAUCGCGCAUCAGCCAUGGCGCGGUGAAUACGUUCCCGGGCCUUGUACACACCGCCCGUCAAGCCAUGGAAGCUGGGGGUGCCUGAAGUUCGUGACCGCAAGGAGCGACCUAGGGCAAAACUGGUAACUGGGGCUAAGUCGUAACAAGGUAACC
rnacentral:rRNA from 1 species